UACGGAGGGGACUAGCGUUGUUCGGAAUUAUUGGGCGUAAAGCGCGUGUAGGCGGCUAUGCAAGUCGGAUGUGAAAGCCCUCGGCUCAACCGGGGAAGUGCACCCGAAACUGCAGAGCUAGAGUCUCGGAGAGGAUCGUGGAAUUCUCGGUGUAGAGGUGAAAUUCGUAGAUAUUCGCAAGAACACCAGUGGCGAAGGCGGCUCACUGGCCCGGUACUGACGCUGAGGUGCGAAAGCGUGGGGAGCAAACA
rnacentral:rRNA from 1 species